rnacentral:rRNA from 1 species
AGUGAACGCUGGCGGUAGGCCUAACACAUGCAAGUCGAACGGCAGCACAGUAAGAGCUUGCUCUUACGGGUGGCGAGUGGCGGACGGGUGAGGAAUACAUCGGAAUCUACUUUUUCGUGGGGGAUAACGUAGGGAAACUUACGCUAAUACCGCAUACGACCUACGGGUGAAAGCAGGGGAUCUUCGGACCUUGCGCGAUUGAAUGAGCCGAUGUCGGAUUAGCUAGUUGGCGGGGUAAAGGCCCACCAAGGCGACGAUCCGUAGCUGGUCUGAGAGGAUGAUCAGCCAGACUGGAACUGAGACACGGUCCAGACUCCUACGGGAGGCAGCAGUGGGGAAUAUUGGACAAUGGGCGCAAGCCUGAUCCAGCAAUACCGCGUGGGUGAAGAAGGCCUUCGGGUUGUAAAGCCCUUUUGUUGGGAAAGAAAAGCAGCAGGUUAAUACCCCGCUGUUCUGACGGUACCCAAAGAAUAAGCACCGGCUAACUUCGUG